UUGUUCUAAAUUCAGAAGUCUGGUGGAUACAGACUCAUUUAGGAAGAGGGCACACUUCUGCUGGCUUGACAGUGUAACAAAUUGGAGAGAGAAGACAUGUCCAGAAUAUUAUCAGAUGUACACACUGCAGCCCUGCAGACACUGCAAUGACAUUUACAAGAACUGCUUACCAGGUUAUGUUGGAAGAGGAAAACGAGGAGAAAUCCAAGGCUUUUACUCGAAAAACACCCAUCCAGGGUUUUGCAGUGAUUGGUGUCAGCUGCUGGAGAGUGAAAAUUCGUUCACUCUUCCAGUUCCAGUCUAAAAGCCUACUUAAUUAUCCAACUCAUCUAACUGCGUAGGACACAACAUCAUGAGAUCGGUUCCA